rnacentral:misc_RNA from 1 species
GUAGGUGAACCUGCGGAAGGAUCAUUACAGAGAGGGGUCUCCGGACUCCGGGGGCUUCGGCCCCCAACUCUUCACCCUUUGUUUACAUACCUUUGUUGCUUUGGCGGGCCUUGGGGUUCGCCCCAUGGCGGCUCCGGGCUUCGUUGCCCGGCCGUCUCGCGCCCGUCAGAGACCCACCAAACUCCGUUUAUCAGUGUCGUCCGAGCAAAAAACACAAUAGAAAAAAACUUUCAACAACGGAUCUCUUGGUUCUG